UUAGUACUUAGACGGAGACAGCCUAGGAUUCCCAGGUGUUGUAGACAU
rnacentral:rRNA from 1 species